rnacentral:rRNA from 1 species
AUGGCUUGUUACUUCUGGAGUAGUUCUCUUGACAAAAAAGGUAUGCACUGGGUUUCUUGGAAAGAACUUGCUUCACCCAAGUGCAAUGGAGGUAUGGGGUUCCGCGAUAUGCCACUCUUCAAUCUUGCUUUGCUUGGAAAACAUGGAUGGAGACUCAUGACCAAACCUAAUUCCCUGUGUGCUCGGGUCUUGAAAGGCCGCUACUUCCAUGACACUGAUUUCUUACAUGCAUCGGUGCCCAAGUCUGCUUCCGCGACGUGGCGUGCGAUCAUAGCAGGAAGAGAGACACUUAAUGCCGGUCUGAUCAAGAGAGUUGGAGACGGCAGUUCUAUUUCAGUCUGGACGGACAAAUGGAUACCA